GACGAACGCUGGCGGCGUGCUUAACACAUGCAAGUCGAGCGGAGCGGCGAACGGGUGAGUAACGCGUGAGUAACUGCCCCCCUCUCUGGGAUAACAGUUGGCACCGGCUGCUAAUACCGGAUAGUGUGGGAUGACUCGCGUCCAAUCAGCUUGUUGGUGGGGUAGUGGCCUACCAAUGCGACGACGGGUAGCCGGCCUGAGAGGGCGACCGGCCACAUUAGGCUGAGAUACGGCCCAAACGCCGACGGGAGGCAGCAGUGGGGAAUAUUGCACAAUGGGGGAAACCCUAUUGCAGCAACGCCGCGUGCGGGAUGACGGCCUUCGGGUUGUAAACCGCUUUCAGCCAUGACGCGGGAGUGGCAGAAGAAGCACCGGCUAACUACGUGCCAGCAGCCGCGGUAAUUC
rnacentral:rRNA from 1 species